rnacentral:RNase_MRP_RNA from 1 species
CAGAUCAUAUCUUACUUAGGGGAAAGUCUCCGAGCACAACCAAAAGCCUAGAGAGUAGGGCCCUUGACUGGGUGGGUAACCAGUCGCGCCCCACGGCGACGAUGAGGAGAGGGGCUCGCACCCCUCCCUUCUAGCCUCGAGGCACGGCAGUUACUUUUAGCUGCAGUAAAGUUAUGUGAUUUGGCGGUGCCACGGCUCACUUGCACUCGAGCAGCGAGCCAGCCGCUAACUCAAUGGAGCUUAAUCUAG